rnacentral:rRNA from 1 species
GACGAACGCUGGCGGCGUGCUUCACACAUGCAAGUCGAACGGAAAGGCCCCUUCGGGGGUGCUCGAGUGGCGAACGGGUGAGUAACACGUGGGUAACCUGCCCCCAUCUCUGGGAUAACCGCUGGAAACGGCGGCUAAUACCGGAUACGACCUGGUCUCGCAUGGGGCUGGGUGGAAAGCUUUUGCGGUUGGGGAGGGGCCCGCGGCCUAUCAGUUGGUUGGUGGGGUGAUGGCCUACCAAGACGUUGACGGGUAGCCGGCCUGGGAGGGCGGUCGGUCAAGUUGGGACUGAGAUACGGCCCAGACUCCUACGGGGGGCAGCAGUGGGGAAGUUUGCACAAUGGGCGGAAGCCUGAUGCAGCGACGCCGCGUGAGGGAUGACGGCUUUCGGGUUGUAAACCUCUUUUAUCCACCACGAAGGCGGUGUAUUCGCACCGUUGACGGUAGUGGUUGAAUAAGCGCCGGCUAACUACGUGCCAGCCGCCGCGGUAA